UUCCAGCUCCAAUAGCGUAUAUUAAAGUUGUUGCAGUUAAAAAGCUCGUAGUUGAACCUUGGGCCUGGCUGGCCGGUCCGCCUCACCGCGUGCACUGGUCCGGCCGGGUCUUUCCUUCUGGGGAGCCGCAUGCCCUUCACUGGGUGUGUCGGGGAACCAGGACUUUUACUUGAAAAAAUUAGAGUGUUCAAAGCAGGCCUAUGCUCGAAUACAUUAGCAUGGAAUAAUAGAAUAGGACGUGUGGUUCUAUUUUGUUGGUUUCUAGGACCGCCGUAAUGAUUAAUAGGGAUAGUCGGGGGGCAUCAGUAUUCAAUUGUCAGAGGUGAAAUUCUUGGAUUUAUUGAAGACUAACUACUGCGAAAGCAUUUGCCAAGGAUGUUU
rnacentral:rRNA from 1 species